CCUACGGGCGGCAGCAGUGGGGAAUAUUGCACAAUGGGGGAAACCCUGAUGCAGCGACGCCGCGUGAAGGAAGAAGUAUUUCGGUAUGUAAACUUCUAUCAGCAGGGAAGAAAAUGACGGUACCUGACUAAGAAGCCCCGGCUAACUACGUGCCAGCAGCCGCGGUAAUACGUAGGGGGCAAGCGUUAUCCGGAUUUACUGGGUGUAAAGGGAGCGUAGGCGGUGCAGCAAGUCAGAAGUGAAAGCCCGGGGCUCAACUCCGGGACUGCUUUUGAAACUGGUGAACUAGAGUGCAGGAGAGGUAAGUGGAAGUCCUAGUGUAGCGGUGAAAUGCGUAGAUAUUAGGAGGAACACCAGUGGCGAAGGCGGCUUACUGGACUGUAAAUGACGCUGAGGCUCGAAAGCGUGGGGAGCAAACAGGAUUAGAUACCCUUGUAGUC
rnacentral:rRNA from 1 species